AAUACCGCCAACCAAAAUGACUAAGUUGUUUCUAGUUUCCCGUGUACCCAUUUCCCCUUACCCAUUUCUUCUUCUUCAAUCUUUCUCUUCACGAAGGCUAGUAGCUCUCUCGGUCUCUCUCGGUCAUUCCCGUAGGCUAGUAGCUCUCUCGGUCUCUCACUCCCCUUCACGAAAGACAAAUCUGAGAAGGGCUUCACCACAUUCGAGUCAAGGGUUUCUCUGAUUCAAGAUGAAAUUACUACAGUUGAAAUUUCUUGUUUCAAUCCGCGAAGAACAACGAAGGAGCUUUACGCUAUCGUCCUUCGUACAAUGUUUCCCCGGGAUCAAACAUACCCGGUAUCCGCAGAGAAGACGGCUCUGAUGGUGCAGUGGUCCUCCAAUGCAUGAAAUGGGGACUUAUUCCCAGUUUCACUAAGAAAACUGAGAAAUGUGAUCACUAUAAGAUGUUUAAUGCUCGAUCUGAGUCCAUCAGUGAAAAGGCUUCUUUCCGUCGUCUUAUUCCUAAAAAUCGGUGCCUUGUUUCAGUAGAAGGACAACCUGCUGGCUGGGUUUAAAUAUGAAGGGAUUUGACUAUUUAUUUAAUGACUUGGUGCAAGAUCUAAAUAGAUUUAUUGAUGAGAAGAGUGAAAGCAGAGGAGAAAAAAUUUAGCAGCUUUACAAGAUACUGAAAGAGCACAAGAAUCCCAAGGUUCUUAGCGAGGGGCUACUGUGGAUGGUUUCAGCAGUGGAAGAUUUUGGCAUCUCACAUUUGAAACUUAAGAUACUGGACUGCACUCAAG